rnacentral:rRNA from 1 species
UACGUAGGGGCCGAGCGUUGUCCGGAGUUAUUGGGCGUAAAGCGCGCGCAGGCGGCCUCGCGCGCCCGACGUGAAAGCCCCCGGCUUAACCGGGGAGGGUCGUUGGGGACGGCGGGGCUUGAGGGCGGGAGAGGGUGGUGGAAUUCCCGGUGUAGUGGUGAAAUGCGUAGAGAUCGGGAGGAACACCCGUGGCGAAGGCGGCCGACCUGGGCCGACCCUGACGCUGAGGCGCGAAGGCGU